CAAGGAAAGGCUGCUGAUGUGAGCAGUCUGAAGACUAAUUAAGGAAAAAAAGAGGCCAGCGGGCAGAGGCUUCCCCCACCCUGCCUGUCGGGGUGUGGGGGCUUGCUUUGCUCUUUCCCGCCUGCCUGGUGCUCUUGUGGGGAGCGGGGUCAGCGUGUGAGGGUGCCCAUUUUUCUGGGGCCCCCCAGUUGGCCAGGGCCCUUGGCCAUGGGCCCCAUCAGACCAGUGGCUAAUCCACCACUGACUCUGGGUAAGGAGACUGUGUGCAACUAGCUAGUACAAUUGAAAAGAGAAAAGCUGGGGAUUCCUGCUUAAGCAAGAGCUGCAAAGAGAUAACUCCCAGAAGGGCUGGGUCCCUGGGCCCGAAACUUUCAGGUACAGGAAAGAAGAGUCUCCUGAAGAAAGGAGCCAGGAACUGCUAGUUGGAUCAAGCCAAGGACCCGCCGCCAAAGACCCGGAGCGAUGCCAGCCCAUCCCAGAAGACUUCUCAGAUAGAAUGCGUAGACAGUGAAGACUACUUGACCAAUGAGGACUUCCAGCAAGCUGGAAGAAACUAUAAAAGAGGGGAAGUGACAUCAUCACUUGGCCUUUCUCCCCCAAACUCAACACCCGGAGGAAUGUCUGGAGGAUGAAGACUGAAUGAUCCAGACUAACAUGGCUAUCCCCUGAUACUGGUCUGGAGAGGAGACCAGCAGUCAGGUGACGGGAAUCAUUUGACCCAGCUGGACAGCAUCAAGUGACUGUCUGAUGAUGCACUUCUCAGGGAUAUAUAAAAGAGGACUCCAGCUGCAUGAGUGAGUCUGGGACCAGGAGAAGGCUGGGAAUGCACUCUUAUGUCACUGCAGCAGAAGGCUGAGACGGAAUGUCAGCCCUGAGGACCUCCCGCACCCACGUUGUGGGAAGUUCCAGACCAUAAAGCUACAGAGGGCCCCACAGCCUCAAAUGAGAAGAGGACUGUUGCUUUUUGUUAUUGUUCCAGUUUCCUUUGUGCAUGUGUGUAUUAAAGAAUAAACUUAGCCCUGACAUAAGGGCUACAAACUGAGCUGGGGGCAGCUGACUGGGUUCAUUAGCCUACAAUGGACCCCACCACAUCGCUAUUUAGCUAACUCUUUAGACUGGGGUAAAAUUAGAGCAGGCUCUUUGGUGUUCUAACACAGUGUAGGGGACCAGCCUGCACAGAGCAGCACCAAGGUCAGGGGAACGUAAAGAUGAGUUUUAAGCAACCGUGGCCAACAAUUCGAUGACAUUUGCCAUGUGAAGUUUAGCUGCAUCCCAAAAUCCUGUCUAUAACUUACACAACAGCAUUAUACAGGCUAAGGCUAGGAAGAGAGUAUGUACAAUAUUUAUUCAUUAGAGUAGGUAUGUUCUGUAACUUGUAAAGCAAUUUAAAUAAACGUGUAAAGAUGUAAGUCUUGAUUCUCGUUUACACUAAGCCCCCUAGAGACAGGCAUUCUGAGAGUAAAUGAAAAAUCAGGCCUUAACUUUUUUCUCCCCUGUACCUUUUUAAUUUCCCAGUUUUGACAUGGAGAAUAUACUGGCCUAAUCCUGAAAGUAUGAGAUAAUUCAUGUGCUGAGGGCACCAAAAGGCUCAAACAACAUCACCUCUUAAUUUGGCCCUUCAUAUACAACUUAGUAACAAUGAAAUUGCAUUGGUAUAUGUAGGGAGGUAAGUUAGGUUUGCAGUUGACAAGCUCAACCUUUGAAUUGCACUUAAGAUGUAUGAUACAUAGCAACUGAAUGCUGAAAAAAAAACAACAAACA